AUUAAUAAAAAAAGCAUUAUCAAGAGACUGUGAUUGCCGAUAAUCAAUUCUAGCUCAUUUUUCUGCAAAAAUGUUCUUGAUGAGAUAGGUUAUCUUUUCAUAGAGGGUAACUACAAUAGAUAGACUACAUUUCCCCUCAUUUGAACAUUGGGACCCUAAACCCUGAACUCACAUUUUCUUAUUUCUUUUCCUUUUAGUGUUCCUUCUGCACAACAUGUGAAUCUGCAAUGUGAAGCAGAAAGACACUACCUCACGUCUACCUCACAAAUCAACCAACCAACCAUGAUUUUAACAUUAGCUUUUCGCACAGUCAAGAGACCGUACAUACUCAGCAACAAAAUCCAAAGCAUAUUGAGAGAAACUUCUUUUUCUUUUCUCUUUUUUUUGUUUCUGUCUGUUAUCAUAAAGGAUCAAUAACCACCCACCAUAAGAGAAAUCAAAUCCAGAAGUACAUCAACAAGAAUCAUGGUUAGUAUUAUUAGAACCAACAAUCAAUGUAACCCCUCACACAUAUACCACAGCAUAUUCAACAAUUGGAAUUUGGAAAGAAUGAAGAAGAAAACAAGUGGCCACCAUGGCUUAGGCCAUUUCUCCAAACAAGCCUUUUUUGUUCAAUGCAAAGUCCACACAGAUUUCCACAAAAGUGAAUGCAACACGUAUUGCUCGGAUUGUAUGAAUGGAGCCCUUUGUUCAGACUGUCUUGCUUCUAACAGAGAACACAAAGCUAUUCAGCAUUAAAAUAGAAAACAACUUGCUUAUUUGAACCACAAGAUCAUAAACAGGGUUAUAUAGCAACAAACUUUUCAUUCCUCCUUUUGACUUGAGAUAUUGUGUUGGAACGGACUUCACUAAGGUUCAGAUGGCUAUGUUUAUUCAUAUUCAUAGCUUGGUAACAAAGUACAGGUGGCGACCCAUCAAAGGAGGAAACAUCCUUCGAACUCCGGGUUUACAUUUUCCAAAUGGCUUUCACGUCCAGAUCAUGGAAAAAGAUCAAAGGAAACAGCUGGAACCAGAAUAUACCAUUACAAAUUAGAGACCAAAACUACACAAGAGAGACUCAUAUAUGGUAGAAAUUUAGGUUUGACAUUUUCAAGAAACACAAGGGAAUGAAAUUCUUAUGGAAGCCAGAAAAGUAACCAUAAGGAUCUCUCACUCAGUUUUGAUUAGGUCUCUUAAAAGUUGUUUUUAUUAGAUUUUCUUCUCAAUAUACUACAGGGUUUUAAUGAAAAACAUGGUUCAAAACCAAAAUAUGACGUGCCUUACCUUGCAAAAAUGCAAUGAGGGGGAAGGGAAGGAAACUUGUACUUUCGUAACAAGUGGGUGUAAAUGCUUCAGAUUAUAUCCUGAGUUAAUAUACAAUUUUCCCUUUUGAAAGUCACAAUUUUUA